UAAAAGUGGAUUGAAAUCAUGCUAACCGCAGAGAUACGGUAGCUAGCUAGCUAACGACAAACGUUGAUUCAUGGCAGACUACAACCCAAAAAGGUGUAUUGCCAACAGGAUGGGGUUGAAAAAACAAGUCUCUCUUUCCUCUUUCUCUCUUUCUUUCUCUCUUCUUUCAGAGGACCUGAGCCCUAGGACCAUGCCUCAGUACUACCUGGCCUGAGGACUCCUUGCUGUCCCCAGUCCACCUGGUCAUGCUGCUGCUCCAGUUUCAACUGUUCUGCCUGCGGCUAUGGAACCCUGACCUGUUCACUGGACAUGCUACCUUGUCCCGGACCUGCUGUUUUGGACUCUCUCUCUACCACACCUGCUGUCUCUAACUCAGAAUGAUCGACUAUGAAAACCCAACUGACAUUUACUCCUGAGGUGCUGACCUGUUGCACCCUCUACAACCACUGUGAUUAUUAUUAUCUGACCCUACUGGUCAUCUAUGAACAUUUGAACAUCUUGUCCAUGUUCUGUUAUAAUCUCCACCCGGCCCAGCCAGAAGAGGUGUUACGGCUGAUUUCCUCCUCUUCAUCUGAAGAGGAGGUGUAGCAGGGAUCGGAAAAGAGCUUUAUAAAGAGCUUUAUAAAAUACAUUUGAUUGAUUGAUUGAUCGGGCUUUUUGCCUCUGCCUUGCUUAUUGAAACUACAACAUCAACAUCCCCACUACUAAGUUCUUGUUUAGCCAGUACAUCAACUGCCUCGUAACCCUUCACCCCCACGUGGGCUGGGACCCAAGUUAAUCAUAUCGGUAUACCCAUCUAUCUAAU
ensembl:lncRNA